rnacentral:ncRNA from 1 species
GAACGCGACACGGGGUGCCCGCACCGAACCCUUAAUGUUGGCUGGAAUGCUUGAGUAUGCACGAAAGCCGGGCGACAGGGGCUGAGAUUAUACCCGCGAACCUGAUGUAGUUAACCCUACCGGAGGAAUUGUCCAUGACCGGCUUC